ensembl:lncRNA
CAACAACCAAAACAACAACUAAAGCAACCAAAGCAACAACCAGACCAAAAACAACAACAACCAAAGCAUCAACCAAAGCAACAACCAGACCAACAACAACAACAGACCCAACAGCAGCAGAAACAAGCCUAAAUGCAGGUUGUUGGAUCAGGUUCAUCUUUGUUCUUGUGGGUGUAGCAGCACUCUCAAUGAUUGUUGUGUCAGUCAACAUUUGGACCAGAACAAAAGGUUCCAAAACACAUCGUGGCAAGAAGCAGCACAGUGAUGAAGAUGAUGAUGUGGUGACGUAUGAAAAUGCUGAAGAUGUUUCUGCUCCUGUUAGAUUCCACAGAUCAACAAAUCAGCUGUGAAAAUAUUUCUUAUCUGCAGUUAUUUCAAACACAGCAGCUGGAUUUAAACAUGAUUGAACAGGAAAUGAGAACAGAGAAAAACAGAAUCUGCUUUACUGCUGCAACAGGACUAGAAGUCUGUUUUAUCUGAUCAGUAAAGACAAUAAAACAACAAACUAUCAACACAAUUAUUGAAGUAUUUUCUUAUUUUGGUUCAAUAUUUUGCUUGUCUUGUGUUAUUUUUUU